rnacentral:rRNA from 1 species
GAACGCGAAGAACCUUACCAGGUCUUGACAUUGAUGGACAGAACCAGAGAUGGUUCCUCUUCUUCGGAAGCCAGAAAACAGGUGGUGCACGGUUGUCGUCAGCUCGUGUCGUGAGAUGUUGGGUUAAGUCCCGCAACGAGCGCAACCCCUAUCUUAUGUUGCCAGCACGUAAAGGUGGGAACUCAUGAGAGACUGCCGCAGACAAUGCGGAGGAAGGCGGGGAUGACGUCAAAUCAUCAUGCCCCUUAUGACCUGGGCUACACACGUACUACAAUGGGAGUUAAUAGACGGAAGCGAGAUCGCGAGAUGGUGCAAACCCGAGAAACACUCUCUCAGUUCGGAUCGUAGGCUGCAACUCGCCUACGUGAAGUCGGAAUCGCUAGUAAUCGCAGGUCAGCAUACUGCGGUGAAUACGUUCCCGGGUCUUGUACACACC